rnacentral:rRNA from 1 species
GAUGAACGCUGGCGGCGUGCCUAAUACAUGCAAGUCGAGCGAACGGACGAGAAGCUUGCUUCUCUGAUGUUAGCGGCGGACGGGUGAGUAACACGUGGAUAACCUACCUAUAAGACUGGGAUAACUUCGGGAAACCGGAGCUAAUACCGGAUGAUAUUUUGAACCGCAUGGUUCAAAAGUGAAAGACGGUCUUGCUGUCACUUAUAGAUGGAUCCACGCUGCACUAGCUAGUUGGUAAGGUAACGGCUUACCAAGGCAACGAUGCAUAGCCGACCUGAGAGGGUGAUCGGCCACACUGGAACUGAGACACGGUCCAGACUCCUACGGGAGGCAGCAGUAGGGAAUCUUCCGCAAUGGGCGAAAGCCUGACGGAGCAACGCCGCGUGAGUGAUGAAGGUCUUCGGAUCGUAAAACUCUGUUAUUAGGGAAGAACAUAUGUGUAAGUAACUGUGCACAUCUUGACGGUACCUAAUCAGAAAGCCACGGCUAACUACGUG